GUGGUAACCAUCGAGCGAUGACUGGUGGUUCCACCGCUUCUUAAGAAAGCCUGCCGCUGGUUACCGGAAUCCGUUGCAGGUGCGUCAGGCUGUCAAACUCCUCCGCGUAGCUCAUCUCUGGAAAGAACCCUCACUCCAACCUGAAUUCUGACAAUACAUAUAAGACAAGUGUAGUUACACCGUGUGAUUUUGGCAAACAAUAUUCUUAAACUCAUCCAAAAUAUUAUUCUCCGUAAAACUUAUUUUAUUUUCUGCUUACAGCAGCAGCAGCAAUAUAUUUGCUACCUAGAUUAAAGAUUCACGGUCUCAUUAUUUGACAUGGUUGUUCUGUUCAAAACCUUUUGGUCUGCUUGAGCAGAAAUGGCGUAGUGUCUGGACAUGUUAAAAUGUUCAACUUUUACCACCCAAAAUCCUCACUACUUUCAAAUAGUUCACUUUUUAUUUUAUUUUACUUGUUGCAUGGACUCAACUUAAAUAGAUUAACUUAUAAAGCAUUUUUUUUUAUAUAUCCAAAUGUUCCUGCCACUUGUUUAAGAUGAGUACAAACAACAAGUCGAUGAUAAUUAAGUGAUGUUCGCUUGAACUUUUUUUUAAGUCUAAUGUUUUAUUUUACAGUGAGGAAGGCCGGAGUCUAGCUUUAGCAGAUGGCUGAAGGCGUCUGAUCCGCUUCAAACUCAGUACCUGUUUGCUCCAAGGCAAAACUUUGAGGUCAGAAGGAGUUCACCUUAAACACUGUAUGGCAUUGAGACAUCCUGAGGGACAUGUUCAAAGUUCAACCCUCUCCCUGUCCAGUAUUCUGCCCGGACACACGCACAAACACGAACGGCUUGGUGAGCAAAACCGGAGUUAAUUACAACAUUCUAUUUAAAUAUAUUACAUUGUAUAUUAUUCUUGAUUAUUUAACACUUAUUGUUUUUUUAUACUUUAAUUGUAUUACUCAUAAAACUCGGAGCCUGUCUCUGUUUCUAUUGGUUGAAUUGAAAUUACCGGGAAUAUAGUGUAACACGUGUUAAGCAUGCUGAGGUCAUGUGACCGGAUGGGGGGAGGGGAAUCAUGUGACCGGAAAUUAAAAUCAAUUAGUCACGGGUCAUUAAUCACUCAUCAAUCAAACUCCGAUUAAAAUUUGACAGAAGGUGUCCCAUAUAGUCUCUCUGUAGUAUAACAUUACAAGUGUGCAAUGUUGCAUUAAAUUGAUGUUUACUGGGCUUUUCUCGCCCUGAUUUUCAAUUUUUCAGCAGCUAGACAGCCAGACAACGACGCUAAAAAUAACCAAACUUCUUCCUUUUUUACUUGUUUUAUUGAAGAGUGGCCUCUGACCACUGCCAUCACUUUGGCCAUCGUGAACUGUAACAUACAAGGCUUAGUAUUAGCAAACAAACAUUGCAAAUUAGCCAUCCUUGCUGUGAGCUAAAA